GGCUCAGGAUGAACGCUAGCGGCAGGCUUAAUACAUGCAAGUCGUGGGCAGCAUGAGUAGCUAUACUUGAUGGCGACCGGCAAACGGGUGAGGAACACGUACACAACCUUCCUUCAAGCGGGGAAUAGCCCAGAGAAAUUUGGAUUAAUACCCAUAAUAUAUUUGAUAAGGCAUCUUAUUAAUAUUAAAGCUUCGGCACUUGAUGAUGGGUGUGCGGCUGAUUAGAUAGUUGGCGGGGUAACGGCCCACCAAGUCUACGAUCAGUAGCUGAUGUGAGAGCAUGAUCAGCCACACGGGCACUGAGACACGGGCCCGACUCCUACGGGAGGCAGCAGUAAGGAAUAUUGGACAAUGGACGAAAGUCUGAUCCAGCCAUGCCGCGUGAAGGAUUAAGGUCCUCUGGAUUGUAAACUUCUUUUAUAUGGGACGAAAAAAGGGCAUUCUUGUUCACUUGACGGUACCAUAUGAAUAAGCACCGGCUAACUCCGUG
rnacentral:rRNA from 1 species